AGGGACGGCCAUUCACGACCUCGUGCUCACUGACCCCCAUGUGUAAGAGACUACCGCAUGCGUGCCGUGCUCUAAACAAGCCACGUCUGCCUGGACAUGUGCGUUCCCGGGGGCUGUGACGGGAAAGGCGCCCCCCACAGGUGUGCGAGUGGCGGCGGGAAGCCUAUCUUUGCCCUGCACGUAAGGAACACUGCUUCUACGAGGAUGCCUGGUUCCAGUCUGCUGUCCCCCGUGACAAAGACAGUUGGAGGCUGGAGAACACAGAAGCCAGUCUCUGCAAGCUGUUAAAUCAGCCGCUGUCGCCCUGAGGCAGGGUGGAGAGGGCAAGGGCGGAUCUGGAGACUUCCCGCACAGAAGGCAACUAUUCCAGGAAAUAUGUCCACUGGGUGGAUUCACUGAACUGAUGCUUCAAAACACACACGGUCAACAAAGAAUGCAAAUGUCACCACGCAUGACGCACGCCUUCAAUGUUACUAAGAGCCCGAGAACAAAACAACCAACCAAUUACACGU